rnacentral:lncRNA from 1 species
GAGCUAAUCUAGUCGUGCAUGUCAUCAUGAGUUGUCCACUUAUAUUAGUUUCUUGUUAUUGUAGAUUAAUCUGCAUAAUAGUAUUCUCACUUUCACUGCAUGACAUACUUGAUGCCAACAAAUUGAUCGAAUCUAAUUAUGUAGAUUAGUUGAGAAACUUGAGAAUUGUUCACAUACAGGAGAAAGUCUCCUAUAUUCUAGAUACCCCUGCACCC